GAUGAACGCUGGCGGCGUGCCUAAUACACGCAAGUCGAGCGAAUGGAUUAAGAGCUUGCUCUUAUGAAGUUAGCGGCGGACGGGUGAGUAACACGUGGGUAACCUGCCCAUAAGACUGGGAUAACUCCGGGAAACCGGGGCUGAUACCGGAUAACAUUUUGAACCGCAUGGUUCGAAAUUGAAAGGCGGCUUCGGCUGUCACUUAUGGAUGGACCCGCGUCGCAUUAGCUAGUUGGUGAGGUAACGGCUCACCAAGGCAACGAUGCGUAGCCGACCUGAGAGGGUGAUCGGCCACACUGGGACUGAGACACGGCCCAGACUCCUACGGGAGGCAGCAGUAGGGAAUCUUCCGCAAUGGACGAAAGUCUGACGGAGCAACGCCGCGUGAGUGAUGAAGGCUUUCGGGUCGUAAAACUCUGUUGUUAGGGAAGAACAAGUGCUAGUUGAAUAAGCUGGCACCUCGACGGUACCUAACCAGAAAACCACGGCUAACUACGUGCCAGCCGCCGCAGUAA
rnacentral:rRNA from 1 species